GACGAACGCUGGCGGCGUGCCUAAUACAUGCAAGUCGAACGAGAGCGACCGGUGCUUGCACUGGUCAAUCUAGUGGCGAACGGGUGAGUAACACGUGGGUAACCUGCCCAUCAGAGGGGGAUAACAUCCGGAAACGGAUGCUAAAACCGCAUAGGUCUUCGAACCGCAUGGUUUGAAGAGGAAAAGAGGCGCAAGCUUCUGCUGAUGGAUGGACCCGCGGUUCAUUAGCUAGUUGGUGAGGUAACGGCUCACCAAGGCCGUGAUGCAUAGCCGACCUGAGAGGGUGAUCGGCCAAAUUGGGACUGAGACACGGCCCAAACUCCUACGGGAGGCAGCAGUAGGGAAUCUUCCGCAAUGGACGCAAGUCUGACGGAGCAACGCCGCGUGAGUGAAGAAGGUUUUCGGAUCGUAAAACUCUGUUGUUAGAGAAGAACAAGUGCUAGAGUAACUGUUAGCGCCUUGACGGUAUCUAACCAGAAAGCCACGGCUAACUACGUG
rnacentral:rRNA from 1 species